rnacentral:rRNA from 1 species
AACGAACGCUGGCGGCAUGCCUAACACAUGCAAGUCGAACGAAGCCUUCGGGCUUAGUGGCGCACGGGUGCGUAACGCGUGGGAAUCUGCCCUUGGGUUCGGAAUAACAGUUAGAAAUGACUGCUAAUACCGAAUGAUGUCUUCGGACCAAAGAUUUAUCGCCCAAGGAUGAGCCCGCGUCGGAUUAGCUAGUUGGUGAGGUAAAGGCUCACCAAGGCGACGAUCCGUAGCUGGUCUGAGAGGAUGAUCAGCCACACUGGGACUGAGACACGGCCCAGACUCCUACGGGAGGCAGCAGUGGGGAAUAUUGGACAAUGGGCGAAAGCCUGAUCCAGCAAUGCCGCGUGAGUGAUGAAGGCCUUAGGGUUGUAAAGCUCUUUUACCCGGGAUGAUAAUGACAGUACCGGGAGAAUAAGCCCCGGCUAACUCUGUGCCAGCAGCCGCGGUAAU